UACGUAGGGGGCGAGCGUUAUCCGGAAUUAUUGGGCGUAAAGAGUGCGUAGGUGGUUUUGUAAGCGUGGGGUGAAAGGCAUAGGCUUAACCAAUGUGAGCCCUGCGAACUGUGAGACUUGAGUGCAGGAGAGGAAAGCGGAAUUCCUAGUGUAGCGGUGAAAUGCGUAGAUAUUAGGAGGAACACCAGUGGCGAAGGCGGCUUUCUGGACUGUAACUGACACUGAGGCACGAAAGUGUGGGGAGC
rnacentral:rRNA from 1 species